ACUAACCAGGCCUAGUGAUUAACAGCUCUAUAAUCUGAGCUAUUUAGGAAGUUGAGGCAGGAGGAUUUCACAAUCAAGGCUUUGCUGGGGUUCAGAGUUUAAGACUAGCCUGAGUAACUUGCCCCCAGCUUCUAGCUCUCCCCUGGUCCUGCUGAGAGAACAUAAUACUGCCUUAUUUGUGACUGCAGACAUUUCCAUGGCAACCAACCCAUGGCCCAGAUGGACUGCCACAUUUCCUGACUUUUGGCUGGCCUCAUCUAAGAAGUACUACAUGGGGCCAUGCCACCAUGGAUGGAGGCCUCUGAAACUCUCACUAGCCCACUCCUGUUCUCAAGAGAGUGUUCCCUUCCUGGAUAAAAGAUGAUUUUAAAGCAUGUGUCCUCCCCGCUGGGACUCAAGAACCUGGAAACUUCAGCGGGUGUGCCUGGAACUCGGAUCCACAGCAGGAGCACAGGUGCAAGCUGACUACUGUGUGGAUACUCACCCUUCAUCUCCCAAACCUUGAACAAAAGAAGCCCAUAUCCCUGAGGAG